CGGUGUUUAACUGGCGUGAUGUGGGACGUCCUACCGGUGGGCUUAGCCUCGCGAGGGGCGGCCCAACUAAUAUCCCGUCGCGGUGCUCUUUACUGAGUGUCGAGUCGGGCCGGUACGUUUACUUUGAACAAAUUAGAGUGCUUAAAGCAGGCUAUCCUCGCCUGAAUACUGCGUGCAUGGAAUAAUGGAAUAGGACCUCGGUUCUAUUUUGUUGGUUUUCGGAACCCCGAGGUAAUGAUUAAUAGGGACAGAUGGGGGCAUUCGUAUUGCGACGUUAGAGGUGAAAUUCUUGGAUCGUCGCAAGACGGACAGAAGCGAAGCAUUUGCCAUAAAUGUUUUCUUUAAUCAAGAACGAAAGUUUGAGGUUCGAAGGCGAUCAGAUACCGCCCUAGUUCUAACCAUAAACGAUGCCCGCUAGGGAUCCGCCGAGGUUCCUCCGAUGACUCGGCGGGCAGCUUCCGGGAAACCAGAGCUUUUGGGUUCCGGGGGAAGUAUGGUUGCAAAGCUGAAACUUAAAGGAAUUGACGGAAGGGCACCACCAGGAGUGGAGCCUGCGGCUUAAUUUGACUCAACACGGGAAACCUCACCAGGCCCAGACACCGGAAGGAUUGACAGAUUGAUAGCUCUUUCUUGAUUCGGUGGGUGGUGGUGCAUGGCCGUUCUUAGUUGGUGGAGCGAUUUGUCUGGUUAAUUCCGAUAACGAACGAGACUCUAGCCUGCUAAAUAGGCGUACCUUAUGGUAUCGCGAAGGCCCCCGGCUUCGGCCGGUGGGUUUUUACUACCAACGUACAAACAAAUCUUCUUAGAGGGACAGGCGG
rnacentral:rRNA from 1 species